rnacentral:rRNA from 1 species
AGAUUGAACGCUGGCGGCAUGCCUAACACAUGCAAGUCGAACGGGAGUAGCAAUACUCUAGUGGCGGACGGGUGAGGAAUACGUAGGAAUUUGCCCUUAAGUGGGGGAUAACCCGGGGAAACCCGGAUUAAUACCGCAUGACCUCGAAAGAGCAAAGUGGGGGAUCGCAAGACCUCACGCAUUUGGAGAAGCCUACGUCGGAUUAGCUAGUUGGUGAGGUAAUGGCUCACCAAGGCACGAUCCGUAACUGGUCUGAGAGGAUGAUCAGUCACACCGGAACUGAGACACGGUCCGGACUCCUACGGGAGGCAGCAGUGGGGAAUAUUGGACAAUGGGCGCAAGCCUGAUCCAGCAAUGCCGCGUGUGUGAAGAAGGCCUUGGGUUGUAAAGCACUUUAAGUAGGAAAGAAAAAACUACGACU